rnacentral:rRNA from 1 species
AUGCAUUCUACAGCUCUGGUCGGGCUGCAGCUGUUUCUGCUGCUGCUCUCCUUGGCCUCUCCUGCCAGCUCAUGCACCGAGCAGGAGGAGCACUCCCUCCUCCAGUUCCUCACAGGGCUAUCUCAAGAUGCCGGCCUUGCCGUGUCAUGGAGAAACGGCACGGACUGCUGCAAAUGGGAAGGCAUAACCUGCAACAGGGACGGGGACGUCACUGAGGUCUCGCUGGCAUCUAGAGGGCUUGAAGGCCGCAUCUCGCCGCACCUUGCCGGUCUCACCGGCCUGCUGUGUGUCAACCUUUCACACAACUCAUUCUCCGGAGGCCUUCCUCCGGAGCUCAUGUAUUCCAGAAGCAUCAUCGUCCUCGACGUCAGCUUCAGCAGGCUUAGUGGGGUGCUGCACGAGCCGCCAUCUUCGGUCACCACCACCCUGCCUCUGCAGGUACUGAACAUCUCGAGCAACCAAUUUGGUGCAGAAUUUCCAUCACACACAUGGAAGGUGAUGCAGAAUUUGGUCGUGCUCAACGCCAGCAACAACAGCUUCACCGGGCACAUACUACCUUCUCUUUGCCUCUCGCCGUCAUUGGCCGUGCUUGACCUUUGUUACAACCAAUUGAGUGGCGGUAUUCCUGCUGCACUUGGUGAUUGCUCCAUGCUCAAAGUGUUCAAGGUUGGGCACAACAAACUAAGUGGCACUCUCCCUGUUGAACUCUUCCAUGCCACUUCCCUGGAGCAUCUCUCCAUCCCCAACAACGGAUUACAAGGAGAACUCGAUGGAGCAAACAUGGUAAAACUCAGUAAUCUGGUUACUCUCGACCUCCGAGAAAACAAAUUCAGUGGGAAGAUCCCAGGCUCCAUAGGUCAGUUGAAGAGGCUAGAGGAGCUCUAUUUGGGUAACAAUAACAUGUCUGGGGAGGUGCCAUCAACUCUGAGUAACUGCACGCGUCUCAUGAUCAUCGAUCUGAAGAUCAACAACUUCAGCGGAGAUCUAGGCAGGGUCAACUUCUCCACCCUACAGAACCUGACACAUUUAGAUGUUUUGAGAAAUAACUUCAGUGGCAUAGUUCCAGAAAGCAUAUACUCAUGCAGCAAUUUGAUUGCGCUGCGGGUGUCGUUGAACCAUUUCCAUGGUGAGAUCUCACCAAGGAUAGGGAAUCUGCACCUAUCCUUCCUAUCACUUGCUAGAAACCCUUUUACAAAUAUCACAAAAGCUUUUCAUGUCUUCAAUGGCUUCAGGAACAUCACCACUCUGAUUAUUGCCGAGAACUUUGUGAAUGAGAUGAUGCCACAAGAUGAGACUCUAGAUGGUUUUCGGAAUCUUCAAUAUAUCCACAUGGCCGACAGCGCAUUAACCGGACACUUGCCAGUUUGGUUACCAAAGCUCAGAAACUUGAAGGUACUAAAGUUAUCCAACAAUCGACUUACUGGACCAAUGCCAAGCUGGAUCAACUCCCUACAUAGCCUCUUCUAUCUGGAUGUAUCAAACAACAGUUUUGCUGGGCAAAUCCCAAUCGCCUUGAUGGAGAUCCCAAUGCUCAAAGAUAAUACAGCAGCUUAUUUGGAUCCUGGCCACGUUGAACUACCUCUUUUUUGGAGGAAUAUAUCGCGCCAAUACCAUUUUCUUACAGCUUUCCCUACACUCUUGAAUCUGGGCAUCAACAAUUUCACAGGCGUGAUUCCAUCGGAGAUUGGCCAACUGAAAGUGCUUUCUGAACUCGACUUCAGCUCAAACAAAUUAUAUGGACUGGUUCCGCUGUCGAUCUGCAACCUCACGAAGCUGGAGGUGCUAGACUUGUCUAAUAACCAUCUGAGGGGUGUAAUCCCUGCGGCAUUGGAGAGUCUUCACUUCCUUUCUGCACUCAACAUUUCUAACAAUGAUUUAGAAGGGCCUGUACCAACAGGAGGCCAGUUGAGCACUUUUCCAGAUUCCAGUUUUGAUGGGAACCCAAAGCUGUGUGGCACUAUGCUUAUUCACCAGUGUAGCUCAGUCAGAGCACAUCCUAUAUACAUUAUCUCUGCAAAACAGCCCAGCGUCAAGGUCAUAUUUUUUAUUGCCUUUGGUUUGUUCUUUGGAGUAGGCGUGAUAUAUGACCAGCUAGUGUUAUAUAGGUAUUUUGGCUCAGCCCAUUUCAAUUGUAAUUUGUUCUAA